rnacentral:lncRNA from 1 species
GGAGCACGAAUGACGUACAGAUGGGAUACCCUCAUAAACCAUGUUAGGUAUCCCACAACACACAUAGAUAAAGAAUCAACUUCAAUGACAUGGGUUAUAACAUGCUCAACAUACGACAACCAACACAAAUCAAUGAUUGGAACGUUUGGCUAUGGAAGACUCUUUAGCGGUCGUGGUAUCAUCUGCUCAUAACCGAACUACCUCAACACAUUCAGGUAGACGUUAGUGAAUCAUCUCACCAUGUCUGGUCCACCCAGAAAACAUACAAAUCGCCAUGAAUGAGCGAAUAGCCCUGUGUGACUGGUAUGGGCACUAGAUGACCACAUCGUACAUGAGCCCAUCAAGAUAUGACCUUCCCUCUAGAAGACUUCAACCCUGCC